AAAAAAAAAAAAACACAAAAACGGGGGGGGGAGCCUUUCUGCAAAGGGAUUAUAUAUAAAUGAAAAAUAACCCACAUAUAGUGAGCUCAUCAGCCACUCAUAAAAACCAUUUAAGCAUGAGGAAAUUGCUAUGUGUAGCUGGGGAUUGAACUAGAAUUGCUUUUCCCAAAAUCCUUAAUAAACUAUUUACUUCAGGAGGUAAGAGGUAUCAAUUUUAAACUUCUGUAAGUGAAAUUUUAAGCUAUGCCAACAUAAUCUUCUUUGACCUAUAACUUGCACUAUCACUCUAGAUCAAUUUAAAUGAUAAAUAUCAGUUUCUCACAAUUAUUCUCAAAGCAAUUACACAAUAAAACAGCAUUUGUCUUUUGGUACAACCAUAUCACAUCCAUGAGAUUUGCCAGUUUUAACAUACAAUUCAAAGAUCAAACGGUUGACAGAUUAAUGUAUAGCUAACGAUUAAUACUAAUAUACAGCAACUAGGUUACUGUACACCAAUUACAGGCUUACAUUUGAAAAAACUACACAAUCUGACUCCAGCGAUAUUAACCAACACAAUCAUCACUUAUUUCCGUUAGGAAGCAGUAUGUGCAAGAUGAACAAAACAAAAUUGAUAGCUACUAUGAUGCUUUUACAUAGGAAGGCACUCAACUAUCUGCCACUAAAUUAAUCUAGUUUACAGUAUUAUCAGAGUGCAAAAGUUCCCUAAAAAAGAAUUUAAAUCUCACAAGACAACAAAGGUCUUUGGAUCUUGGUAUGUUCCAGAACCACUUGAAAUCUGUUAUUUCAUCUAGCAGAGUCCUAGAAAUCCCACUGGAUAAACCAGAGUCAGAUCCUGAAGUCCCAUUUUUAGAUUUCCAAGACACUAAAUGAUCAAAAGAGUUACAGUAUGUAACUGGAUCCAUCCCCUUUUGAAUUAAAGAAAUCUAAAUUUACAUAUACACAAGAGACUAGAUGUUUGUGAGUUCAUCAAGGUUAAUAUGGAGAAUUACAAAAAAUAUAUCUUAAAUACUGUACUUUUAAUUUAAAAUGUCCUUAUCAAUUUUUUAGUUUCAAGCCGAAAUGUAUUCUUUGUAGUCUCCCCAGACUAGAAUUCUAGUUUCUUGUUCCUACAUAAACCAGAUCAAUAAUGCAUUGUCUACAGUUUUUUGUUCAACAUAUUUCAAAAUAAGUUACCUAGAUUUUUCUGGGGCAAUCUGAAAGCAGACUUCCUUCUAGAUUUCUAUUUUUUCCCUAUAAUCUUUUAGUCAUCGUGCCCACACCUAACCUGACUACAAUGUUCUUCAGCAAUUAAUUUGCCUUUAUCAAGUUUUCCAAAGCAUUUAACUUAGUUUGUUUUUACACAGUUCUCUUUUCACAUUCAUUUAUCAUUGGUUUAUGUAACAUUUAAUAGAAUAAUACAAACACAUUACAAGUACAAUGGAAUUAGCCAAUUUGGGAACAAACCUAUGACUUCCAUGAGCAUUCAACUCAAAUGGUGGAAGCAGCAGAAAGCAGUUUACAUUCAUUCAACUUACAUGGACAUUAGUAUUUUUAAAAGAAGAAUUAUUAAUCCUGCACACUGGUUAAAUGAAGAUUAGGGAAACAUCUAUAGUACCUACAUAAAACAUUUUAGAAAAAAAAAACUAUAAAUAGUGAUCACUUUAGCAUAUGGUAGACCUUAUACACAGAAGUCAGAGAUUUACUUUUUUCCAGAAACAACUAUCACAGAAAAGGCUAGAGAGCUUACUAAGAAUUUUACCCCAAUUAACUUAUUGAAUUCCCAAAAUCACUCUACGAAAUAGGUUCUAUUAUUAUCUCCAUUUUGCAGACCAAGAAACAAAAGCACAAAGAGGUAAAAAACAUUGCCCAAGGUAGUACAACCUGAUUUGAGAGCAAUCAAACCAAAGUGGUAUGGUUCUGGAGUCUCUACUCUAUACAAUACAGCUUCUAAAGAAGUACUGUUUUGAGUUCUUUUAACAAACAUAUGUUACUUUUACAUCUUAAGAAUUGGAGGUAAAUAAGCCAUGUUCCAUAUGUCAUUCCCCAGUGCAAAUUUUUCAGUAGCACUCCUCUUAAGUAUAUAUGCUUUUAUUCUGGCAUUCAAGGCUCAACCACAAAUUGAUCCCAAUUUGUACUGCUGUGAUUUCAAUUAAGCUCCUUAUCCAAAUAGCCUAUAGGUUCUGGAAACCAAUGAAUCAUCUUGAACUGGAAUACACAAAAGCAGCAGACAGAGAGUCUGUCACAUGACACUGUACAAAGACCAGUAUUUGCUUACUUCAGAUACUCUGAAAAUAGUGGCCUGCCUUUUAAAGAGAAAUGUCCAGCAUGAUUUCUUGGAAAAGUAUAAAGCACCAAGAAUCAGGACCUAAAUUUUAAACCUUGAUUAACCACUAUCUAACUUUAUGACCUUGGGAAAAUCAUUUAAACUCUCUGGAGCUCAGUCUGCUUAUAAAAUAAAAGCGGAGAACUGGAAUACAAAAAUGAGCUGCAGCCAGUACUAAAACCCAAAUUCAAGGACCCACUCUAAAUAUUUGAUUAUACUGGUCUGGAAAGGGGCCCCAAGAAUGUUCAUUUUAAUAUAACUGAUACAUGAGGUCUUUGGGUCACAGUGAGAAAAAAAUAACAAAGCGAUCUCUUAAGUCAAUUCUAAAUGUAGAUUCUUAACUUCAGUCAAUUAAGGUGUUCCUUUACAAGUUCAGGAUGGGAGUUCCGGCCUGAAAGAAAAUCCUUUCGUUCACCGUGGGGCUUGCUUUUGUACCUUUUGCCAUACCUUUUGUUUAAACACUGAAAUAAGACUUAGUAGUACCACAAACUGAACUUCCAUUAAUCUGUUAAGACAUAUUUGCACACAGUCAAUUCAAAUUAUUUUUUAAAGCACCUACCAAAUGGUAAGUAUCCACUGUAUUUCAUUAAUUUCCACCGUUGUGAAAUAUGAAAAUUUUAAGUUUUAGAGAAUAUGCACUCUGUAAGUCUCAAAAUUUUCUUCUCCUGCUGUCUGAAAAUUUCCAAAGAAAUUAAAUCAUCCAAAUUCACUACCAACAUUUUGCUAUCACUGAAAGAAAAUACAUAAAACUGAUGAGUAUUAUUAUAAUGUAAUAAAAGACUAAGUGUUUUCCUGUUUCUUUCCCUUUUCUUGUUCUUCUUAACCUUAGUAUAUAUUUCUUUAAUUACAAAGUUCUAGAAACCAUAUACCGCUUUGCCCUAGAGUUACAGAUGUUUCAUGCUCUGCUGUAUUACCAUCUGUGUAUAUACCAUCUCACCAAUCCCUUUUUAAAAAUCAUUAAUGUGAAAUGUAUGUGAAAAAGAACCUAUCUUAAUGUUUUCCAAAAAAUAUUAUUUUACUUUUUAAAAAUUGCUUAACGGGGCCAGGCAUGGUGAACUUUAAAGUUGUAAGUACCGCAAACCAAAACUAACUCAAUCCAUUAUCGUAUGCUAGACAGGCAUGACCUUAAAUGCUGCACCCAAGUUGGCUAUUACACCGGUGUGAUUACUCAAAAUCAUCUUUCUCAAUACUAAAAUUCAGGACCAAGAAUUUUUUGUUUUUAAUUUACUUUUUUUUGAAAGAGAGUCUCACCCUAUCGCCCAGACUGAAGCACAGUGGCAAAAUCUUGGCUCACUGCAACCUCUGCCUCCUGAGUUCAAGCAAUUCUCCUGCCUUGCCCUCCUGAGUAGGUAAGAUUACAGGCACCUGCCACCACGCCCGGCUAAUUUUUGUAAUUUUUAGUAGAGAUGGGGUUUCACCAUGUUGGCCAGGCUGGUCUCAAACUCCUGACCUCAAAUGAUCCGCCUGCCUCGGCCUCCCAAAGUAGUGAAAUUACAGGUAUGAGCCACUGUGCCCAGCCUAUUUUUAAUAAUUAAUAUCUGAUACGUCCUAGUCUUCUGAAGGACUGUUUCUUCCUUUGGAUUAACUCUAAGCAACCUAAGAGUUGCUAAGAAAUUACCUCUCUGUUCAAGUGUUGUAAAAAUAAAGCUACAUAGAUCAUUGCUUAUCACGUUGACCUGCAUGCAGAUCCUUUCUAAACCCAGAUUUCAUGUUUCAAAGUUUUGAAAUACAAAAUAUUUUAAUUAAAAAUGAACAAGUAGUUUACACAUUAAUUUACAUUACAGGUUAAUUAUUUAAUCAUUAAAAGCUAUAAUGUCUGUUUUAAUGGCAUCUUAAUGCAACACAUCAAAAAAGAAUUCCUUGUUGACCUGUUGCAUUGAAAAUGUUCAACAUCCCAAAAAGCUUAAAUAGUUUUGGUAAAUAACCAAAUAAGAUUUCCAAUAAAACUGUAAAAUUCACCUAACAAUAAAAAAAGUUUUUCUGUCCAAAAAUAAAAUCCAAUUAUGAGCUGUUCAUGAGGGAAAAAAAGAAUUAACUUCAUAUCAAGUGAAAACAUGUUAUCUAGUGAAAUAUAAGACCAACUGCUUUUCCUGACUCUGAUUUAAGUAAAAGGCAUCCUAGUUACCAAUGGUUAACAAAAACUUCUUUUAUCCUUAAAGAUUUGAAUUAAGAUCUAAUUAACUUAGUCUGGGUCACCUUCAUUUGAUUUUUAACGUAGCACUUAGCAUGGAAGUUCACAAUAACAAAAAGCAAUUUGCAUCAUAAUAUGGUUAAUUCCUAUCUCUUGCAACUGCUAUUAAAAAUCUUGCAAUUGCUAUUAAACAAUGAGUAUUUUAUAUAAAAUAAAAUAUUCAUUUUAUAUUAUACAAAGUAAAAUACUCAUAUUUAUUUUAUAUAAAGUAAAAUACACCUUUUUUAUAUAAAGUAAAAUGUUUAAUAGCAAUUGCAAGAUUUUUAGUUAAAUACCAUCCACUUCUAAUUUAGUGUAGAAAACAACAAAUAUUAUUCCUCCAUAUUAAGUAAAUUUGUAGGUAAUACAAAAAAUUAUCCUGUCAAUGUCAAGAAAAAAAUAAGGCUCCCCCCAACUUUUGCACAUUACAAAACAGGUAGCAAAUACGAGCCACUUCAAUUUUAAACCCAGUCUAAAAGCCAGUAACAUUCAUAGAGUAAUAUUUCAAAUAGUAUUCCUGUUAAUUUGCCAGUCAACACAAAAAGCAAUUUUACCAUAAAGUAAAAAUAAUUAUAUUUUCAAUAUUAAAAACUCUCAUAAAUUAUCAUGAAAUUGGGGGAAAAAAGUCUGACAGAAUACAAAUAUUUAACAUUUAUUCUAACACAUAACUGGGAACAGUCCCUGAUCACCCUACGUAUUUGAGAUGUAAAUGUGUUUGCUUCAACAAAAGAUUCACGUCCAAGAAAUAAUUAAGCACCUACCAUCUGCUAAAAAUAAAUCCUUUGGAGAUAAAAGUUUUUAUACAUUAUUAAAAUAAUUUUUAAAUAGUAAACAUAAAAUAGCAUCUGUUGAGAAAACUGCAUACUAGUAUUUCCCAACCAGUUUUGAUAGCUCUUCAAAGUUCUGUUGGUUUUAUACAUUUUAAGCACAGUAUGGUUGUACACAUUUAAGUCCUAGUAGUAGCUUCCAGAAAUGCAGAGUUGUUAGGGUUUACAUAAAACACACCUUCAAAAAUUAAACCACAGGUUUCUUUAGGAGAUUGAUGAGUGAAAAUGAGUACAUUAUUCUUGGAAAUUAAGAAGCCAAUUUAAGAAAUUAUUAUUUCCCUAAGACCACUAAGGUAUACACUAAGGGGAAAUUUUUCUCCUAUUAAUUAGCUUUUCUCUUUACUUCCUCAAUAGAUUCAAGAAGUCCUAGAGUUUACUGGGGGCAUAUAUGGCAAAGAUUUCUCGCUGGAAGCUGUGAGGAAGUCAGACAAGCCAAAAUUGCAGGGCAGUUAUUAGUCCUACAGAGUUGAUGGGAAAUGGAGACCUGUCAAGGCUCUACACUUAAACUGGGAUCAGAGAGAUCCUUUUAUUUACACUGACAACGAAAGGAUAUAUGAUCAAAAUGUAGGCUCUAAAAAUAAAAUUUACUCUCCAAUUACAUUAUAGUUUUCUACAAAUCCACUUAAACAGAUAAACAACUAAUCCUUCAAACUCAGCUAUCCUGGAACAAAGACUAUUUGACUAGCUUCCCCCAAGGGACCAAAUUCUUUCAAAACUCUCUGGGAACAAAAAUUAUGCCUAACCUUUUAAUAAAUUUGCCUAGACAAUCCUAACUUAAAACAUACAUAGUAAAUUAACAAAAAACAAACAAUUAUAGCAUUGUUAUUUAUAAAGUAACCAUUCAAAAUAAGGUACAAUAUUUAAAAAAAAAAAAAAGCCAGUCUCAUUUUACAGGAACUAAAACAUCAAAAAUAAAAAUAAAAAUAAAAACACCCACCACCACCACCAAAAAGAAACAAACAAAACCUAAAGCAAUAAAGCAAGCCAAUACGAAGAAAGCUAGUAAACUGAAGACAGCUUUUCCUAUAAUUUCUAACUUGGUAUUUUUCAUUUGAGGCCAAAUAAGUUCAACUGCUUUGUCUGUCUAGACCUGACUAAGGUCUCUACGAAGAAAAACAUUGGGCACACUGUUCCCUCCUACGGCCACACAAAUCAAAUUUAUAAAAAUACACUGACUUUGUAUACUGAAUAGUAAGUUUAAAGUACCAAGCUUCUGAACCACAGACCUUAAUCACCUAGCCUUUAAAAUAAAUGCACAAUCUUCACACAGCAGUGAAGAAUCUGGACUGAUAUACUUGCUCAUAUCAAAAUACAAAUGAGUACUGACCUCAAAUUCCUAUACAAACUUGCCCACUAUCCACCAACAUUUCACUUUAUAAUAAAAUAUUUCAAAUAUUCUAAGUAAGGUUGUGUGCUCAGUCUUCCAUGAUGAAGCUCACUGGUAUGUAGAAAAUCCCUAAGCCAGUUACUUCUCUAAUUAUUUCGUAGGCUAGAACCUUAUCAUCAACCUAGUUGAUACAGUCACCAUAUGAAGUAAAUGCUGCUCUAAAAUAUUUACAAUGGAAUAAAAGAAUCAUGAAACAGUGUAUACUCUCCAACCUUUUUAAGUACUACUAGAUUGAAAGGCACUCAUCUUUCCGUUGCUUCACAAUCAGAAUGGUCAUUAAAUGUCAUUAGUGGCCCACUCAUAUCUCACUGCUUAGUUCAACCCAAAAAGAUAGAACUCCCACUACGAAAGUGAAUUCUAAUCUUUCACACUUUAAAAAAUACAGUUAAAUAACACUUGACACCAUUUAAUUUUCAGUCUCAGUCUGUAAGAUUCUGAAAAGAGCAUAAAAUGGAUUCAAGACCCUAUUGUGGUAAUGUUUUUAUUUAUGGUCUAUUAAAACAGACUAAAUUCCACAAUCCUAUAAUAGGUAAAUGGGCAUACUUGAAGAGGAAAAAAAAUCAAGAAUCGGAGCCUUAAACUUACAUAAUGAUGAUAGUAUGCUGUAAGACGAUUGUUAAAAGGCAGCACGGAGCUUCACUUUACCAAAUACACAAUCAACUUUGAAAAUUCUUAAGGAAAGCUUAAAUACAUGGGAAAAAUGGAUGGCAAAAUAUAAUGGCAUCUCUACACCCAAUGAAGUAACAGGUUUAGGCUUGUUUGUACAGCUCCCUAAAAUUUAAGCUGAAACAGCAUACAAAAACCAAAAUCCACAAAAUGGGUCAAGAAGUGGUUGGGAAAUGUCUUACUCUAGAUUGAAACAUUUAAUCAUACAAAAUAGAUUGUACUUAUACACUUAUUAAACAUUUUAAUCUACUUUGGCAUACUGAAUAAAACAUGGCUGGAUUAAACCAAACAAAAACUAUUAUUGGUACCAAAAUAAUUUUUUUUAAUGUUGAAGCGCACCUAUCAUCACCACUGAAAUUUGCAAGGCUUUUUUUUUUUUUUUUUUCAAAAGUGGAGACAUUUUAUUUGCCUUUCAGGAAAAACGAA